rnacentral:rRNA from 1 species
GAUUUUAAGUCGGACCUGCCCAAUGAGGUUUUUAAAUGGCCGCAGUAUUUUAACUGUGCAAAGGUAGCAUAAUCASUAGUUUUUUAAUUGAGAACUUGUAUGAAUGGUUUGAUGAAAAGAUUUCUGUCUCUAGGAAAAUUUAUUAGAAUUUUAUUUUUAAGUKAGAAGGCUUAAAUACACAUAGGGGACGAGAAGACCCUAUAGAGUUUUAUAUUUAGAAAAAAAAUUAGUUUUGUGGUUUUAAUAUAUUAAUUUUUGUUUAAAUAUUUGGUUGGGGUGACUAAAAAAUUAAUUGAACUUUUUUUUAAUUUAAACAUUUAUUUAUGAAAGGCUGAUCCUACAAGUAGAUUAAAAGAUUAAAUUACCUUAGGGAUAACAGCGUGAUUUUCUUUAKAGUUCUUAUCGAAAAGAAAGAUUGCGACCUCSAUGUUGGAUUAAAUUUUAUUGCUGGUGUA